rnacentral:rRNA from 1 species
CGCCAGACUCCUACGGGAGGCAGCAGUGGGGAAUAUUGCACAAUGGGGGAAACCCUGAUGCAGCGACGCCGCGUGAGCGAUGAAGUAUUUCGGUAUGUAAAGCUCUCUCAGCAGGGAAGAAGAUGACGGUACCUGACUAAGAAGCCCCGGCUAACUACGUGCCAGCAGCCGCGGUAAUACGUAGGGGGCAAGCGUUAUCCGGAUUUACUGGGUGUAAAGGGAGCGUAGACGGCGAUGCAAGCCAGAUGUGAAAGCCCGGGGCUCAACCCCGGGACUGCAUUUGGAACUGUGUGGCUGGAGUGUCGGAGAGGCAGGCGGAAUUCCUAGUGUAGCGGUGAAAUGCGUAGAUAUUAGGAGGAACACCAGUGGCGAAGGCGGCCUGCUGGACGAUGACUGACGUUGAGGCUCGAAAGCGUGGGGAGCAAACAGGAUUAGAUACCCCAGUAA